GACAGAGAGAGAGAGAGAGAGAGAGACCCAGUGAAGACCUUUGAAGAUAUCUGAAGAAGUUAAAAUACAACUGAAGAUUUGUGAAGAAGACUAUCACCAUGGCGAUAUUGACCAUCAUUCUGCUUGUCAGCAUGGCUUUGGCUCUGGGAGAUGCCUUUAUUCCGAUAGGUGGUAUGCGACCCAAGACCCGCUGUGAGCAUUUAAGAGAUUCCAAGAAAAACAGCC